CAUAGGACAGGAAGGGGAAGAAGUUAAGAAAGGAUGUGAUUUUAAGUGAAGUCUCAGGCUCAGCUUAGUCCAUGUAAGUUCUGGAGGGAGGGGUUGUCAGCUUCCGGUACAUCCAAGUCAGGUGACUCCCAGAACCCAGAGCAACCUUCCAAAGGCUGUCCAGGCAAGCUAUGAGCAGCAAAGCAUGCAACAGGGGAUGGGUUCACAGAGCAUUAAAGGAAUCCGAGUGGGCCCAGGCAAGGCACCUCCUGUGUCCACUACAGAAGCAAAGCACAGAGCCCAGAGUUGAUGUGUUGGCUCACCUGCCCCCAGGGGUGACAGCAGAGGGAGUGUGGACUUCUCACCCCUGAACCUAACUUGAAGAUAUGCUCACUCCUUUCCUGGUGGGUGGUCUUUCCUUGGUUCCAUCUCUCCAGAUGGGUGCAGACAGGAAACAGAGUCCACCUUCUAAUAAACUUCACUUACUGGACUGUGGCCUCAUGAGAAAAAGAGGAGAGGUCUCUUUCUCUCCGCACCAUGUGAAGACAGCAUAAAGACAGCCAUCUCCAAGCCAGGAAAAGAACUCUCACUAGAAAUGGAAUCAGCCAGCACCUUGAUCUUGGACUUCUAACCUCCAGAGCUGUGAGAACAAAUGACCGUUAUUUGAGCCAACCAGUCUGUGGUAUUUUGCUAUGGCCAUCCAAGCAAACUAAUACAAGCCUCAAUAGAUAAUUAAUACAACUUCAUAAGUGAUGUUAUUAAAUUCAUGUUCAUCACAUCAGAAGUGUUCUUUGCAAAGAAAAGUUGUCCCUCA